GAUGAACGCUGGCGGCGUGCCUAAUACAUGCAAGUCGAGCGAAAAGGCGCUGAUCUUGCGGGGCGCACGUGAGGCGAGCGGGGGAGAGACACACGAGGAUACCGCCCCUGUAUUCUGGAUAACCUCCGGGAAACCGGGCUUAUAACGGAUAAAUGCAUUUGACGCCUGGUGGCGGUUGGAAAGUAUCGGCUGGUGGGGAUGGACUCGUGGCUCAUCGGCUUGUUGGUGGGGUAGUGGCUUACCAGGGCUUUGACGGGUAGCCGGCCUGCGAGGGUGACCGGCCACAUUGGGACUGCGGUACGGCCCAGACUCCUACGGGAGGCAGCAGUGGGGAAUAUUGCAGAAUGGGCGGAAGCCUGAUGCAGCAACGCCGCGUGCGGGAUGACGGCCUACGGGUUGUAAACCGCUUUCGCCUGUGACGAAGCGUGAGUGACGGUAAUGGGUAAAGAAGCACCGGCUAACUACGUG
rnacentral:rRNA from 1 species